UGAUAAGCUAAAAGUCUGGACCAACUAAUGAUCACGGUAGAUGUUGUUAGCCAAUCGUGGGAAAUACGUUGUGUAUAGGACAAACAGAGUUGGAACAAGAGCGCUACCUUAAGGAAUUCCAACUUAUAUAAUUAAGACGUCUAGUAGACACUAUUGUAAAGGUACGACUGAAGUAACUCGUGAGUGUAUUCCGGCAAAAUCUGUAUGUUUUUGUGCAUCAAGGCCUCGGUCGGAAGCCUGUGCGUCAUUAAGGAACAUCGCACUAAAGUAUUCCCGAUAUUCGAAUGCAGUCCGUAGUUCUGAUAUUAUUCUGUUGACUUGCCCUUUGGUUUCAUGGCUUUCUCGAAGGCCAAAUUGAUGUGGCGGGAUUACAUUGUGCGGUUUAUAGGUUUAUGUGCGUCAGAAGGCAUAUUUCUAGCAGUUUUAAGAAACACAAGAGUAAACUUAUUGGUCUGUGUCAUUACGAUUGCCGAUUUUUUCUCUUUCUUGAGAAGAUGGGGAAGGAGUUGAAUAACUCCCCACAAUUAACGCAAGCAGUGUAAGCGAUCAUACAGGUUCAGGCCUACUAGUUGCCAGAUUCGCGGCGAUUUCGCCCGUAGUAACGGUAGUGCGGCGAGAAAGUAUCGUACCGUGUGCACAAAGACGGACAGGAAGAGUCCGAAAAAGGCAGCAAUAAAAAAGAGCGUCGGAAUACCGUGAGCAAAAAGAAAAAUAACGGGCUAAAGGACAGCGGCGCAUUCAGAGACGGCGAAGAAUACGUCAAUAUAAUACAUUGCCAUUAUUAGCCAGAGGCCGAGGUUUACGUCGGCAAAUAGAAUCCUUAUAUCCUUGCAUCCCAACCUUCUUUGCAUUCUCGCUUGUCAGUCGGACACGUUGUUUAUAAUAUUGGUGGGACGAAAACAACGAAGUUAAUUCGUUUCAAGAACUAACAAUGCACAGUUCGGAAGUUCAAUUAUCAAUUUUAGAGUAAUUAAGUUACCGUCUGGAGACAAUUAUGGCAACAUCAUUUGGCUAAAACCUAAUUGACUACGUUUACGUUUCAGUACGAUGGUCAGUGUUGGGGUGUAUCUAGGUACUUGUACCUAGGUAUGUACCUAGGUAAUUUUUUUCGGUAUCUUUUACCUUACCUAGGUAAAAAAAUAUUUGGCUACCUUUUACCUUACCUAGGUACGAUUUUCGUUUACCUUAAGUUUUAGCUAUGUAAGGUAUUUAGGUACUUCCAUACGUGUAUGUAAAUAUUGUGCAUAUUAGAAAUAGCCCUGCUUCACAGCAAUGCAAUCGAAAACUUAGAAAUAUGAUAGUUCCACCACUUACUCACAGAGGUCUUUAUGGUAAGAAUGCAAAAAUAUUUUCCGUUGGAAUUUGGUAUAAUGCUAAAUUAGCAAUGCCGUUGCUACCUAAACAGUGCACUUUUGUCGAUGACAUUGGUUCCUAGAAAACGUCACAACAAAUCUUAAAAUGAGAAAAGAAGACGCAGAAAAAAAGGAACUACCAUUAAUUUUAAAUGGUACUUUCUUUUUACCGGACGGGAAGUGCAAACUGUGUGUGAACCAAACUAUCAAAUUUGAUGAAAAGUCAACCGGCAACUUGCAUAAACAUCUGAAGAGGGUUCACCCGAACAGUUAUUCUUCGUAUGAAGCUUUGAAAGCGAAAAAUUCAAAAAUAGAAGUGAAAAUUUCCGGUGAUCUCAAAAAAAGAAACCAAUGUGACUUAUGUUUAUAUCUUUGUAUCUCAGAAAAAGAAACUGAUAAUAAAAAUUUCAAAUUUAAAAAA